GUAUUGACGUUUACUUCAGCAACUAACAGCCCUGUUAUAACCUGGAGAAAGUGACGGCGAACAAAGACUGUCAGUGUCAGUGCAGAUAAAAAAUGCAUGUGACUGCUGAGGCCAAGAAUCCAGCUUCUUGUGUGACGGCGGGGAUCGCAAGGAUACCUGCCCCGACCUAUGUCAUCAAUGUUGAUGGAAAGAAAGUGAUCAUCGACAGGUGCAUUGCACUUUAGCAUAGCCUGACCUGCAGCCAAGCAAGCGACCUGACACCAAAAUUUCAGGUCUUACAUUACAUCAAGGGCGGUAAGAAGGAAGGAACGUUACCGUUGUCCCGGCCACAAGGAAGAUGGAACCAGUGAUACUCCCUGGCACAUCCAAGCGAGAAACAGAGACACAAUCACAUCAGAUGCACCCCAAAUGCAAAAAAAGAAAAGCAGAAGAAAGCUCGGCAAAGCAACAGGCUGCAUGAUCUGAGCAU